ACGGCCGGAGCUGUUUGUGCUGGGAGCUGGUGGCGCGGUGCAGGGCUCUUAAGAACGAACGGCUUGGGCGCGGACUGGUAUCCGGGGACUGUGACUUGCAGGGUCCGCCAUGGAGCCAGAGCAGAUGCUGGAGGGACAAACGCAGGUUGCAGAAAAUCCUCACUCUGAGUACGGUCUCACAGACAACGUUGAGAGGAUAGUAGAAAAUGAGAAGAUUAAUGCAGAAAAGUCAUCAAAGCAAAAGGUAGAUCUCCAGUCUUUGCCAACUCGUGCCUACCUGGAUCAGACAGUUGUGCCUAUCUUAUUACAGGGACUUGCUGUGCUUGCAAAGGAAAGAGUUUUACAACAGAGAGAAAAUACAGCAGUCAAGUAUAAUUUAAAAAAUUCAGCCAAUUUUUUUCAGCAUUGUUUCUGGACCUUUCUGAGGGUGGGAUCUGGGCAUCUUCAAUGGCUUAACAAGUAUCACAGAUGAGGAAACAGACUUGGAGAGGUUAAGUGACAUGCUCAAGACAACACUGCUGAGGGGGUUUCACCGUGUUGCCCAGGCUGGUUGCGAACUCCUGAGCUCAGGCAAUCUGUCUGCCUCGGCCUCCCAACGUGC
rnacentral:sRNA from 1 species